rnacentral:rRNA from 1 species
CCUACGGGAGGCAGCAGUGAGGAAUAUUGGUCAAUGGGCGAGAGCCUGAACCAGCCAAGUCGCGUGAAGGAUGACGGCCCUACGGGUUGUAAACUUCUUUUGUCAGGGAGCAAUUGAGUCCACGUGUGGUCUUAGCGAGAGUACCUGAAGAAAAAGCAUCGGCUAACUCCGUGCCAGCAGCCGCGGUAAUACGGAGGAUGCGAGCGUUAUCCGGAUUUAUUGGGUUUAAAGGGUGCGUAGGCGGAAUAUCAAGUCAGCGGUAAAAAUUCGGGGGUCAACCCCGUCGUGCCGUUGAAACGGGGUGUCUUGAGAGGUGGAGAGGUAUGCGGAAUGCGCAGGGUAGCGGGGAAAUGCGUAGAGAUUGCGCAGAACACCGAUUGCGAAGGCAGCAUACCGGCGGCGAUCUGACGCUGAGGCACGAAAGCGUGGGUAGCGAACAGGAUUAGAUACCCUAGGAGUC